rnacentral:rRNA from 1 species
GUCUACAGCCAGAGCACCCUGAACGCGCCCGAUCUCAUCUGAUCUCAGAAGCUAAGCAGGGCGGGCCUGGUUAGUACUUGGAUGGGAGAUACAGUGGGGAGCAAAGCAAACGUUAAUC